AGAGUUUGAUCCUGGCUCAGAAUGAACGCUGGCGGCGUGCUUAACACAUGCAAGUCGCACGAGAACGCUUCAGCUUGCUGGAGCUAGUAAAGUGGCGCACGGGUGAGUAACGCGUGGGUAAUCUACCUCCGAAUUGGGGAUAACACUGCGAAAGCGGUGCUAAUACCGAAUGACAUCUCAGGGACCUCGGUCUCUAAGAUCAAAGGUGGCCUCUACAUGUAAGCUACUGUUUGGAGAUGAGCCCGCGUACCAUUAGCUAGUUGGUAGGGUAAUGGCCUACCAAGGCUUCGAUGGUUAGCUGGUCUGAGAGGAUGAUCAGCCACACUGGAACUGACACACGGUCCAGACUCCUACGGGAGGCAGCAGUCAGGAAUUUUGCGCAAUGGGGGAAACCCUGACGCAGCAACGCCGCGUGAGUGAUGAAGGCUUUCGGGUCGUAAAGCUCUGUCAAGUGGGAAGAAUAUGCCCUGUGAUAAUACCAUGGGGCACUGACGGUACCACUGAAGGAAGCACCGGCUAACUCCGUGCCAGCAGCCGCGGUAAUACGGGGGGUGCAAGCGUUAUUCGGAAUCAUUGGGCGUAAAGGGCGCGUAGGCGGCCCCUUAAGUCAGAUGUGAAAGCCCUCAGCUUAACUGAGGAAGUGCAUUUGAAACUAAGGGGCUUGAGUAUGGGAGAGGGAAGCGGAAUUCCUGGUGUAGCGGUGAAAUGCGUAGAUAUCAGGAGGAACACCGGUGGCGAAGGCGGCUUCCUGGACCAAUACUGACGCUGAGGCGCGAAGGCGUGGGGAGCAAAUAGGAUUAGAUACCCUGGUAGUCCACGCAGCAAACUGUGAACACUAGGUGUAGCGGGUAUUGACCCCUGCUGUGCCGAAGCUAACGCAUUAAGUGUUCCGCCUGGGAAGUACGGUCGCAAGGCUAAAACUCAAAGGAAUUGACGGGGGCCCGCACAAGCGGUGGAGCAUGUGGUUUAAUUCGACGCAACGCGAAGAACCUUACCUAGCCUUGACAUGCAGGAAUUAGUCCUAUGAAAGUAGGAUGACAGCUCUUCGGAGUCGGAAUCUGCGCAGGUGUUGCAUGGCUGUCGUCAGCUCGUGUCGUGAGAUGUUGGGUUAAGUCCCGUAACGAGCGAAACCCUUAUCAUUAGUUGCCAGCGGGUAAUGCCGGGAACUCUAGUGAGACUGCCGUUGUUAAAACGGAGGAAGGUGGGGACGACGUCAAGUCAUCAUGGCCCUUAUGGCUAGGGCGACACACGUGCUACAAUGGUCUAUACAAAGGGUCCCGAGACCGCGAGGUGGAGGCAAUCCUUAAAGUAGGCCCCAGUUCGGAUUGAAGGCUGCAAUUCGCCUUCAUGAAGCCGGAAUCGCUAGUAAUCGCGUAUUAGCCAUGACGCGGUGAAUAUGUUCCU
rnacentral:rRNA from 1 species